AGCCCUGCAUUAUUGAUGGCGGCGCCACCGCCACCGCCAGCGGCAGCCACUAGUGCAGGUGAUGAUCACUAAAGGAAAAAAAAAAAAAAAUACCCCUACUGGUACUACGUAUUUCAAUUAAAGAACAAGAAUCAAUGAGUACUGCAAACCUCGUUAGAACUACUCGUUUUAGUAUAAUUUACCUGCAAUAUAUUUAUAUUUAUAUCUAUGAGUACUUAAUCUUGUUUUAUUUUUAUCUGUGUUGUUAAAUUUAAGGAACUCUAUUUAGACUGUAGCAGUAGUAAUAAUUAGAAGAAGAAGUAGCUAGUAUAAACAAGUUUGUGACUUAGCGUCCAAUUUGUCACAGAUCUGUAGCUUGCUAGGAGAAAAGCCAUUUAUGACGAGUAAUAGAUUUGGAGAUCAUGUUGUGUGUCUUUUUAUUGAAUUCCAUUUCUUUUGUUUCUUCUUUUUUUUUUUUUUUAUGGUUUUAUAAUAAUAAUGGCUACUGGCAAAUCAUCAUCUAGGCAUUAAAAAAGGGUCUGUGUCAGAUUUGUCAAGCACUAUAUUUGUAUGCAUUGUUUAUUUUUAGUAUCAUACACCUAUUUGCUUGUGAGAUACUGAGACUCUAUUCUGCUUUUCUUUCUUUCCUUCCUUUUCUUUUCUAUAGAAUGAUCAAUAGUAAUUAAAUAGUAGAGACACUGCAAAACUGUGCUGGAUACAUAGUAUCUUAUUCUUUAAAAUGGAGUCUCUGCAACUAGUUUUCAUUCUUUGUACAGGUGAAAGAACUAUAACUAUAAGUCUAAUCUUUCUUUGGUAUUAUAUAAAUUCUGGCAGUAGAUAUUAGGAGGAGUCGUUUUUGCCUUUGAUUUGUGUGUGGGCUCAUUAAUUUUAUUUUACAAAAUCUACAUGAUCCAAUUUAUCUGUUGGAUCAUAUCAAAUCCUGGAUGUCCCCUAAAGAGGGGUUUAUGAUUAAAUAAAUCAGGAGUCCAUUAUCACAUGAACCCUAGCUAGUAAACGGUGUAAUCUAGUUAGUUAAUCCAUCAUUAAAGUGAUUAAUAUAUCAAAGUUGACAACCAACUAGUUAUACGCAUGUAUGUAUUUGUCUGCUACUGCUGUUUAAUGUAAUUAGUUUCUAGUUCUAGACCACAUAAAUAUGGUGUUUGUCCUCAAAAAGCAACAUUAAUGUCAUUUUUUCAGUAUAUUAUUGAAAGACAAUCACUUCACUGCACUUUCUAAAUUCUUAUUGAGUAUGUUGUUUGCUCUUAUUACUGGUUUUUUGGCUUUUUUCUUGCUAAAGUUUGUUGAUAUCUUCAAUUUCAUGUGCUAACUCAAACAUUUCAAUUAAAGAACAAGAAUCAAUGAGUACUGCAAACCUCGUUAGAACUACUCGUUUUAGUAUAAUUUACCUGCAAUAUAUUUAUAUUUAUAUCUAUGAGUACUUAAUCUUGUUUUAUUUUUAUCUGUGUUGUUAAAUUUAAGGAACUCUAUUUAGACUGUAGCAGUAGUAAUAAUUAGAAGAAGAAGUAGCUAGUAUAAACAAGUUUGUGACUUAGCGUCCAAUUUG
rnacentral:lncRNA from 1 species